UUUCCGUAGGUGAACCUGCGGAAGGAUCAUUAAAGAGUAAGGGUGCUCAGCGCCCGACCUCCAACCCUUUGUUGUUAAAACUACCUUGUUGCUUUGGCGGGACCGCUCGGUCUCGAGCCGCUGGGGAUUCGUCCCAGGCGAGCGCCCGCCAGAGUUAAACCAAACUCUUGUUAUUUAACCGGUCGUCUGAGUUAAAAUUUUGAAUAAAUCAAAACUUUCAACAACGGAUCUCUUGGUUCUCGCAUCGAUGAAGAACGCAGCGAAAUGCGAUAAGUAAUGUGAAUUGCAGAAUUCAGUGAAUCAUCGAAUCUUUGAACGCACAUUGCGCCCCUUGGUAUUCCGAGGGGCAUGCCUGUUCGAGCGUCAUUACACCACUCAAGCUAUGCUUGGUAUUGGGCGUCGUCCUUAGUUGGGCGCGCCUUAAAGACCUCGGCGAGGCCACUCCGGCUUUAGGCGUAGUAGAAUUUAUUCGAACGUCUGUCAAAGGAGAGGAACUCUGCCGACUGAAACCUUUAUUUUUUCUAGGUGACCCUCGAUC
rnacentral:rRNA from 1 species